AGAGUUUGAUCCUGGCUCAGGAUGAACGCUGGCGGUGUGCCUAAGGUAUGCAAGUCGAACGCCCCGCUAACUUAUAGUACGAAGGGUUCUGAAAGUGUUAAUAUGACGCUAACAGUUGACCAUCUCGUUUUAUAGGUUAGCGGGGAGUGGCAAACGGGUGAGUAACGCGUGGGUAAUCUGCCCCGAAGAUGGGUAUAGCUCGCCGAAAGGCGGGGUAAUCCCCAAUAGUCCAUUCUUUUCGUGAGAUAUGAAUGGUAAAGAUUUAUCGCUUCGGGAUGAACCUGCGUCCUAUCAGCUAGUUGGUGAGGUAAAAGCUCACCAAGGCUAAGACGGGUAGCUGGUCUGAGAGGAUGGUCAGCCACAAUGGCACUGAGAUACGGGCCAUACUCCUACGGGAGGCAGCAAUUAGGAAUCUUGCGCAAUGGGGGAAACCCUGACGCAGCGACACCGCGUGAAGGAUGAAGGUCCUCGGAUUGUAAACUUCUUUUAUUGCCAACCAAGUUCUGAGGAGGCAAUGAAUAAGCACCUGCUAACUGCGUGCCAGAAGCAUCGGUGAAGCGUGGGGUGCGAGCGUUAUCCGGAUUUAUUGGGCGUAAAGAGAUGCGUAGACUUUUCGGUAUGUCCCUUGUUAAAGCCCUCAGCUCAACUGAGGAAAUGCAUUGGAAACUACCGAAAUAGAGGCAGAGAGAGGGAAGUGGAAUUCUCGGUGGAGCGGUGAAAUGCGUUGAUAUCGAGAGGAACACCAGUGGCGAAGGCGACUUCCUGGCUCUGUUCUGACGUUGAGGCUCGAAAGCGUGGGGAGCAAAACGGAUUAGAUACCCGUGUAGUCCACGCUGUAAACGAUGGAUACUGGGUGUUCGGUUCGACCGUACUUUUCUUUCGAGAAAUGUUCGGAAGAAUUGAGUGCCGAAGCUAACGCGUUAAGUAUCCCGCCUGGGAAGUACGGCCGCAAGGCUAAAACUCAAAGGAAUUGGCGGGGACCCGCACAAGCAGUGGAGCGCGUGGUUUAAUUCGACGGUAAUCGAAGAACCUUACCAAGACUUGACAUGUAUCUGCAUGCCUAUCGAAGGACUGGCAGCCUUCGAGGGUGAUACACAGGUGCUGCAUGGCCGUCGUCAGCUCGUGUCGUGAGAUGUAGGGUUAAGUCCCGAAGCGAGCGCAACCCUUGUCCCGUGUUAUAAGUGUCUCGGGAGACUGCCUCGGUAAAACGGGGAGGAAGGUGGGGAUGACGUCUGGUCCGCAUGGCCCUUAUGUCUUGGGCGACACACGCGCUACAAUGGUCGGUACAAUGGGCUGCCAAACCGUAAGGUGGAGCUAAUCCCAUCAAAGCCGGCCUCAGUUCGGAUUGAGGUCUGAAACUCGACCUCAUGAAGUUGGAAUUGCUAGUAAUCGCGAAUCAGCCAUGUCGCGGUGAAUACGUUCUCGGGUCUUGCACACACCGCCCGUCAUGUCAUGAAAGCCGGGGGUACCCGAAGGCGUCGCGUCCCGCUAACUUAUAGUGUGAUCAUCGUUUGGAGUGUUGUUGAAACAACAAAACUGAAUGGUCUCGCGCUAUAGGUUAGCGGGAGUGGGCGUCGAAGGUAAACUUGGUGAUUGGGAUAAAGUCGUAACAAGGUAACC
rnacentral:rRNA from 1 species